CCUACGGGCGGCAUCAGUGAGGAAUAUUGGUCAAUGGACGAGAGUCUGAACCAGCCAAGUAGCGUGAAGGAUGACUGCCCUAUGGGUUGUAAACUUCUUUUAUAUGGGAAUAAAACGUUCCACGUGUGGGAUUUUGUAUGUACCAUAUGAAUAAGGAUCGGCUAACUCCGUGCCAGCAGCCGCGGUAAUACGGAGGAUCCGAGCGUUAUCCGGAUUUAUUGGGUUUAAAGGGAGCGUAGGUGGAUUGUUAAGUCAGUUGUGAAAGUUUGCGGCUCAACCGUAAAAUUGCAGUUGAAACUGGCAGUCUUGAGUACAGUAGAGGUGGGCGGAAUUCGUGGUGUAGCGGUGAAAUGCUUAGAUAUCACGAAGAACUCCGAUUGCGAAGGCAGUUCACUGGACUGCAACUGACACUGAGGCUCGAAAGUGUGGGUAUCAAACAGGAUUAGAUACCCGAGUAGUC
rnacentral:rRNA from 1 species